rnacentral:rRNA from 1 species
AACGAACGCUGGCGGCAGGCCUAACACAUGCAAGUCGAGCGCGCCCUUCGGGGUGAGCGGCGGACGGGUGAGUAACGCGUGGGAACGUGCCCUUUUCUACGGAAUAGCCUCGGGAAACUGAGAGUAAUACCGUAUACGCCCUUUGGGGGAAAGAUUUAUCGGAAAAGGAUCGGCCCGCGUUGGAUUAGGUAGUUGGUGGGGUAAUGGCCUACCAAGCCGACGAUCCAUAGCUGGUUUGAGAGGAUGAUCAGCCACACUGGGACUGAGACACGGCCCAGACUCCUACGGGAGGCAGCAGUGGGGAAUCUUAGACAAUGGGGGCAACCCUGAUCUAGCCAUGCCGCGUGAGUGAUGAAGGCCUUAGGGUUGUAAAGCUCUUUCAGCUGGGAAGAUAAUGACGGUACCAGCAGAAGAAGCCCCGGCUAACUCCGUC